GGGAUUGUGGCUCAGUGGUAGAGUACUCGCCUAGCAUGCAUGAGGUACUGGGUUCGAUCCUCAGCACCA
rnacentral:tRNA from 1 species